rnacentral:rRNA from 1 species
GAUGAACGCUGGCGGCGUGCUUAACACAUGCAAGUCGAACGAAGCACCUUAUUCUGAUUUCUUCGGAAUGAAAAAUUUGGUGACUGAGUGGCGGACGGGUGAGUAACGCGUGGGUAACCUGCCUCAUACAGGGGGAUAACAGUUAGAAAUGACUGCUAAUACCGCAUAAGACCACAGCACCGCAUGGUGCAGGGGUAAAAACUCCGGUGGUAUGAGAUGGACCCGCGUCUGAUUAGGUAGUUGGUGGGGAAACGGCCUACCAAGCCGACGAUCAGUAGCCGACCUGAGAGGGUGACCGGCAACAUGGGGACGGAGACACGGCCCAAACUCCUACGGGAGGCAGCAGUGGGGAAUAUUGCACAAUGGGGGAAACCCUGAUGCAGCGACGCCGCGUGAGCGAUGAAGUAUUUCGGUAUGUAAAGCUCUAUCAGCAGGGAAGAAAAUGACGGUACCUGACUAAGAAGCACCGGCUAAAUACGUGCCAGCCGCCGCCGUAA